rnacentral:rRNA from 1 species
UACGCCCGAUCUCGUCCGAUCUCGGACGCUAAGCAGGGUCGGGCCUGGUUAGUACUUGGAUGGGAGACCGCCUGGGAAUACCAGGUGCUGUAAGCUU